GACGAACGCUGGCGGCGUGCUUAACACAUGCAAGUCGAACGGAGUGGUGAACGGGUGAGUAUUACGUGAGUAACCUGCCCUCAACUGGGGGAUAAGCCUGGGAAACGGGGUCUAAUACUGCAUAGUUGGGGAUGGGAUCGCGGCCAAUCAGCUUGUUGGUGGGGUGAUGGCCUACCAAGGCGGUGACGGGUAGCCGGCCGUAGGGGGUGGUCGGCCAUAUUGGGCCUGGGAUACGGCCCAGACUCCUACGGGGGGCAGCAGUGGGGGAUAUUGCACAAUGGGCGCAAGCCUGAUGCAGCGACGCCGCGUGAGGAAUGAAGUCUUUCGGGUUGUAAACCUCUUUCGGUACAGAACGGGUAUGUGCAGAAGAAGCGCCGGCUAACUACGUGCCAGCCGCCGCGGUACUAC
rnacentral:rRNA from 1 species